rnacentral:tRNA from 1 species
GUACCUCACUCCCAAGACCCCGAGCGGCGACCAAAGCCCUCUUGCCGCUGAGGGUCGGACUGUUAAUCCGUAGGUCCCUGGUUCGAGCCCAGGUCGAGGAGCCA